rnacentral:rRNA from 1 species
CCUACGGGGGCUGCAGUGGGGAAUAUUGGACAUUGGGCGAAAGCCUGAUCCAGCCAUGCCGCGUGUGUGAAGAAGGCCUUCGGGUUGUAAAGCACUUUCAGUGGGGAAGAAAGCCUUGGGGCUAAUACCCUCGAGGAAGGACAUCACCCACAGAAGAAGCACCGGCUAACUCCGUGCCAGCAGCCGCGGUAAUACGGAGGGUGCGAGCGUUAAUCGGAAUUACUGGGCGUAAAGCGCGCGUAGGCGGUCUGAUAAGCCGGUUGUGAAAGCCCCGGGCUCAACCUGGGAACGGCAUCCGGAACUGUCAGGCUAGAGUGCAGGAGAGGAAGGUAGAAUUCCCGGUGUAGCGGUGAAAUGCGUAGAGAUCGGGAGGAAUACCAGUGGCGAAGGCGGCCUUCUGGACUGACACUGACGCUGAGGUGCGAAAGCGUGGGUAGCAAACAGGAUUAGAUACCCGUGUAGUC